rnacentral:rRNA from 1 species
UACGUAGGGGGCUAGCGUUGUCCGGAAUCAUUGGGCGUAAAGCGCGUGUAGGCGGCCCGAUAAGUCCGCUGUGAAAGUCCAGGGCUCAACCCUGGGAUGCCGGUGGAUACUGUCGGGCUCGAGUCCGGAAGAGGCGAGUGGAAUUCCUGGUGUAGCGGUGAAAUGCGCAGAUAUCAGGAGGAACACCAAUGGCGAAGGCAGCUCGCUGGGACGUGACUGACGCUGAGACGCGAAAGCGUGGGGAGCGAUCCGG